rnacentral:tRNA from 1 species
UCAAAUUAGAGCUUGUUUAGGAAGUUUUUUAUUUACAUUAAAAAGAUAUUGUGCAAAUCAAUGUAAUUUGAAC